rnacentral:rRNA from 1 species
UGAGUAACGCGUGAGGAACCUGCCUCUCAGUGGGGGACAACAGUUGGAAACGACUGCUAAUACCGCAUAAUGUUUCUGGACCGCAUGAUCUGGAAACCAAAGCUUUAUGUGCUGAGAGAUGGUCUCGCGUCUGAUUAGCUAGAUGGCGGGGUAAGGCCCACCAUGGCGACGAUCAGUAGCCGGUCUGAGAGGAUGAACGGCCACAUUGGGACUGAGAUACGGCCCAGACUCCUACGGGAGGCAGCAGUGGGGAAUAUUGGGCAAUGGGGGAAACCCUGACCCAGCAACGCCGCGUGAAGGAAGAAGGCCUUCGGUUGUAAACUUCUUUUACCAGGGACGAAGAACGUGACGGUACCUGGAGAAAAAGCCACGGCUAACUACGUG